CACGUAGGCACCAAGCGUUGUCCGGAUUUAUUGGGCGUAAAGAGCUCGUAGGCGGUUCAGUAAGUCGGGUGUGAAAACUUUGGGCUUAACCCAAAGCGUGCAUCCGAUACUGCUGUGGCUUGAGUUCGGUAGGGGAGCAGGGAAUUCCUAGUGUAGCGGUGAAAUGCGCAGAUAUUAGGAGGAACACCGGUGGCGAAGGCGCUGCUCUGGGCCGAAACUGACGCUGAGGAGCGAAAGCGUGGGUAGCAAACAGG
rnacentral:rRNA from 1 species